ACUCAACUAGCUGAGUCGGUAUAGCAUGAGACUCAAUCUCAGGGUUGUGUUGUGGGUUCAAACCCUACGUUGGACA
rnacentral:tRNA from 1 species